GCUUUUUCCAUGCUGAAGUUCCAGCAAAAUGCUGGUAAGAGAGAGACCCAGAUCUGGUUCAAGACCUGGAAUUUGCUCUCUGAAGCCCUGGAUGAUCUGGGAGUCAAGAAAGAAGCACCGCAGCUGAGCAUCCAAAACCCAUCCGUUGUCUUUGCGUUGCCUCUGUGAGCAGCAGCAGGGAUGACAGGCAGGCAGCAAGGCAAAGAAA